UAGUAAAACUAUUUUUGUAAGUAAAGGUUAUUUGCCAACAUAAUAUGGCUGUCCUGGAAGGGACGUUGUUACUGUUUAUUAGCCCCAUGAAACAUCGUUUCUAGCUUGCUAUACAACACAUUAUCUGUGUCCUUAUAUUUUCGAA